GAGGAAGUGCUAGGAAAGUCUGGACUCCAGUAGAGCUGUUGGGAGCAGUUACUGAACAUUGUUUUCUGUUGGAGAUGGUAAGUCCCUUUGAGGUGGACUUUGGCCUUUUUCACUUUGAAAACCUACAACGUGCACA